rnacentral:piRNA from 1 species
CAGCCUGGGCUACAAGAGACUCUAU